rnacentral:rRNA from 1 species
UACGUAGGGAGCGAGCGUUGUCCGGAAUCACUGGGCGUAAAGCGCACGUAGGCGGCUUUUUAAGUCAGGGGUGAAAUCCUGGAGCUCAACUCCAGAACUGCCUUUGAUACUGAGAAGCUUGAGUCCGGGAGAGGUGAGUGGAACUGCGAGUGUAGAGGUGAAAUUCGUAGAUAUUCGCAAGAACACCAGUGGCGAAGGCGGCUCACUGGCCCGGUACUGACGCUGAGGUGCGAAAGCGUGGGGAGCAAACAGG